GACGAACGCUGGCGGCGUGCCUAAUACAUGCAAGUGGGACGCAAGGACACACACUGUGCUUGCACACCGUGUUUUCUUGAGUCGCGAACGGGUGAGUAACGCGUAGGUAACCUGCCUAUUAGCGGGGGAUAACUAUUGGAAACGAUAGCUAAUACCGCAUAAUAUUAAUUAUUGCAUGAUAAUUGAUUGAAAGAUGCAAGCGCAUCACUAGUAGAUGGACCUGCGUUGUAUUAGCUAGUUGGUAAGGUAAGAGCUUACCAAGGCGACGAUACAUAGCCGACCUGAGAGGGUGAUCGGCCACACUGGGACUGAGACACGGCCCAGACGCCUACGGGAGGCAGCAGUAGGGAAUCUUCGGCAAUGGACGAAAGUCUGACCGAGCAACGCCGCGUGAGUGAAGAAGGUUUUCGGAUCGUAAAGCUCUGUUGUAAGUCAAGAACGUGUGUGAGAGUGGAAAGUUCACACAGUGACGGUAGCUUACCAGAAAGGGACGGCUAACUACGUG
rnacentral:rRNA from 1 species